GAGGUAAUCAAUCUUAUUAACUUAUCAAUCAGUAAUAAACGAAGAAAACGGGUAUUACAAAAAUGGAUUUAGUUGAAACCUCGAAUCUGCGGUCAGACGUAGCGGCUGCACAGCGUCAAACGGACCGCUCGUAUAGCCAAUCAGAUUGCAGGAAAUGCUGAAAUAUGAAGUCGGACAACUUACCUAAACAGAAUUUUAUUGAAGAACAUUAUUUCAGAGUGAACGUGCAAAUCAAAAUAAUGUAGCAAAUCAUAAAAUACAAAUAAUACACAAAA